rnacentral:rRNA from 1 species
GAUGAACGCUGGCGGCGUGCCUAAUACAUGCAGGUCGAGCGAACAGAUGAGGAGCUUGCUCCUCUGACGUUAGCGGCGGACGGGUGAGUAACACGUGGAUAACCUACCUAUAAGACUGGGAUAACUUCGGGAAACCGGAGCUAAUACCGGAUAAUAUAUUGAACCGCAUGGUUCAAUAGUGAAAGACGGUUUUGCUGUCACUUAUAGAUGGAUCCGCGCCGCAUUAGCUAGUUGGUAAGGUAACGGCUUACCAAGGCAACGAUGCGUAGCCGACCUGAGAGGGUGAUCGGCCACACUGGAACUGAGACACGGUCCAGACUCCUACGGGAGGCAGCAGUAGGGAAUCUUCCGCAAAGGGCGAAAGCCUGACGGAGCAACGCCGCGUGAGUGAUGAAGGUCUUCGGAUCGUAAAACUCUGUUAUUAGGGAAGAUCAAAUGUGUAAGUAACUAUGCACGUCUUGACGGUACCUAAUCAGAAAGCCACGGCUAACUACGUG